rnacentral:rRNA from 1 species
UACGUAGGGUGCGAGCGUUGUCCGGAAUUAUUGGGCGUAAAGGGCUCGUAGGCGGUUUGUCGCGUCGGGAGUGAAAACUCGGGGCUUAACCCCGAGCCUGCUUCCGAUACGGGCUGACUAGAGGUAUGCAGGGGAGAACGGAAUUCCUGGUGUAGCGGUGAAAUGCGCAGAUAUCAGGAGGAACACCGGUGGCGAAGGCGGUUCUCUGGGCCAUUACUGACGCUGAGGAGCGAAAGCGUGGGGAGCAAACGGG